AGCAGCCGCGGUAAUUCCAGCUCCAAUAGCGUAUAUUAAAGUUGUUGCAGUUAAAAAGCUCGUAGUUGAACUUCGGGGUUUACCCAUUGGUCAGGCUUAAUUGUCUGUACUGGUGAGAUGAAUCUCUACCUUCUGAGGAACUUUCAUGCCAUUUAUUUGGUGUGAUGGGAAAUCAGGACUGUUACUUUGAAAAAUUAGAGUGUUUAAAGCAGGCUAACGUCUGAAUACAUUAGCAUGGAAUAAUGAAAUAGGACGGACUGAUUCUAUUUCGUUGGUUUCUAGGAUCACCGUAAUGAUUAAUAGGGAUAGUUGGGGGCAUUAGUAUUCAAUUGUCAGAGGUGAAAUUCUUGGAUUUAUUGAAGACUAACUACUGCGAAAGCAUUUGCCAAGGAUGUUUUCAUUAAUCAAGAACGAAAGUUAGGGGAUCGAAGACGAUCAGAUACCGUCGUAGUCUUAACCAUAAACUAUGCCGACUAGGGAUCGGACGAAGUUAAUUUUAUAAUGACGCGUUCGGCACCUU
rnacentral:rRNA from 1 species